rnacentral:rRNA from 1 species
UACGUAGGGUGCAAGCGUUGUCCGGAAUUAUUGGGCGUAAAGAGCUCGUAGGCGGUCUGUCACGUCGGAAGUGAAAACCCGGGGCUUAACCCCGGGCUUGCUUUCGAUACGGGCAGACUAGAGUGUGGUAGGGGAGACUGGAAUUCCUGGUGUAGCGGUGAAAUGCGCAGAUAUCAGGAGGAACACCGGUGGCGAAGGCGGGUCUCUGGGCCACUACUGACGCUGAGGAGCGAAAGCGUGGGGAGCGAACAGG